AGCAUAAAUUCCUAUAUUGCAACAUAAGAGUCUAACAGUGAAGAAGCUCCCGGCAAGAAAAGAGAAGUAAGCAGUUUUCCUGGACAUACUUACUGAGGUGAAAAAUGUACAGAUUGGAGAUACCUUGAGAAUGACACAGACGGCAACAUUCGGCUGAAGGGGAAUUCCACCGACAAUGACCUAGGAUUGCGUUUCUCUCCCAGGACCCGGAUGCAAACUGUAACACAGUUUCAGGCCAUGUGGUGUAUGACGGAGCUGGGCUGGUGUCUUCCAGUGGAGACUCGAGUGGAGCCACGUUUGCCACGGCAAAUUUCCAGUUUCACAUGGCGUGUGAUGUUACGGUGAGAAUGGGGAAAGAGGGGAACGAACACGGAGCACCUCCCCGGCGCUCGGCCUGGUCGCCUCACGUCUCCUCCACAAGACCCCUUCAGCAAGGCAGUGGGGCUCCCUUCUUAGUGAGGGGACCUGAAGCUCUCGAGGUUACACGGCCGGGAAAGCUGAAAUCGGGGUUCUGAGCCAGUUCUGUCUCUGUAGUAUGCCCGUGGUUCGCCAUCAGAGGUGAGCAUCAGAAUGACUACAGAGCCGUUGAGGGACCUCCCCCAGCUUCUGGGCCCAGACUCAGAAUCGGGGAAGGGGACGGUGCGUCCGGCACGCACACACUUCACAAAUGCCAUGCGGGAGGCUGCGAUGCCAGCAGGUGAGAGCCGCCGGGUGCCCUCCUCUCUCACCGACGCAGGAGUUCCGGCACUUUCACUGGGCCGGGGGAGGUCUUGGUCAUCAUGCUUUGCACACGGUUGGAAUACCGUAAGUAGUAGCUGAUGGUGCAACUGGAAUGUUACUUUGGCAAACAGAAUAUGGUUUUGGGCUGGUUCCCUUGCUGGGAGGGCAGCCUAGCCUGAUUGUAAGAUACAGAAAAAGAGCCUUUAAUAGAGGCUGAUGUUUGGGGUAUCCUGGCUGGUUGUACACACUAUUGCUCCUUCCAGUGUGAACAAGCCAAGACACAAGUCUGUCUCUAUGGGAUGGGGGUCUGUAGCUUUUUUAGCAACACCUGGAAAGCCAAAGUGAAUCUCUACGAUACAAGCAUAAUGGAUACUCACCACCUGGGAGGUUCAGCCAGGCAGGUGGGAUUUGCUGGUAGGGCAUGGGGCCGGGACUGGCACAGAGCAAGGGGCUGGGCUAGGGCCUGGGGAGCAGUCCCAUUUCUACCACUUUCUAGUGCCGUGACCCUGACAAGUUACCAUUUACGCUUUCUUCCUCAGUUUCUUCAACUGAUAAACAGGGAUACAGGCUUGUCAUGGGGAUUCAGUAAGUCAACAUAUGCCUAGAAUAGUGAUAAUUUAGAGCAAGAACAGUAAAGGUGAGGAAUUUAUGUUAUUAAACUUUGAUCUUGCACCCAGACGUUUUCUGUGAUAAAAAAUACACAAUUCACUGUGCAAAAAGAAAGAUAAUACUGCAUAUCUGGGAAGUGUCUGAAGCAUAGAAUAGUGCUUCAGUUCUGAACAUUUUACAGCUUUGAGAAUUCGUGUUAAAACACUUAGUUAUCUUCACUUUGUCUUUGAAGCAUUUUUCAAACGAAAACGAAUUUGCACAAUAUUCUAGAGAUGCACGUGUGUGCUAAUACCCCAGUGUGGAAAAAGACGACUGGCCGCUGAGUUGAAGUGACCUGCCCCAAGCGUAGGGAGUCGUGGUGGGAGCUGGUAUCAGCUGUUGGCAUUUGCCGGCUCCAAAUCUCGCACUCGGAACAUGACCCCCCAAGGUAACAAGAACCCCUGAGGGACUCUGGACAGCUCAGUGGGAGGGAGGCAACCACAGCUGGUCCCCGCACUCCAGACUGCAGCAAGGGCCCAAGAGCAGAGAAGGAAACAAAGUGGAGGUACUUACGCCAUGUUUAACGGUUUUUGCAGCGUGGGCAGCUUUCUUUUUUGCAUCAUAAUGAGUCAAAAUGUCAAUAAUUGCCAUAAAGUACACCUCUUUCCUGGGCGAGUCUGUAAAGGGAUGAGAGAGAGCAGUGAUUGUGGGACAAAUGACGCCACCUGGAGAGGCACGUCCUGGGGGUGAGGGACUCGGGACAGAACAGGGUUUGGAGGAGUCUGAAAACUAAGGCCAUGUCCAUGUAAGUUCAAACACAUUCUAAAAAAAAAACUUUUACUCCCUCCUCCAUGUUUUAUGGAGUAGAGAGAUGGGCAGACUGGGUGAGGGGACUGGGAGAGACCGGCUUCCGGUUAUGGGAGGAACAAGUCACGGAGCAGAAAGGCACAGCGUAGGGAACACAGCAAUGACUCGGCACCAGGGCUGAGAGGUGGGCAGGUGCGGGCACGGCAGAAUCACUGUGUUGUCCACCGGAAGUUAACGUUAACACUGUGUAUCAGCUAUCCCCAAACACAAAAAAAGUUAACUGAUAAAUAAAAUCGUAAUUUGGAAAAAGCAUCCACGUAACUCCUGCAUGUCCCAGUUAAACAGCUUAACUUUCCCCAAUUCUCUCUCAAUUCAAAAAGUAAAAAAGUAUCACCCUAGGAUGUUACCAGUAGAGGUCCAAGGCGGAGAUGGUUUUUAAUUUUUGUCAAUCUGCAUUUUCUUUAACGAUUAUGGAUUGCUUUGGUGUAAAGAGAGAUGCUCAUACAACAGGUAGACGGAAUUACGUUCCUUACUCCUAGUCGACCGUUAACUACAGGCGCACCUUGCUUUACGGCGCUUUGCACAGGCUGCAUUUUCCAGAGAUUGAAGGUUUAUGGCAACCCUGUGUCAGGCAAGUCUGUUGGCACCAUUUUCCCAAUGGCAUUUGCUCACUUUGUGUCUCCGUCACAUUCUGGUAAUCCUAGCAAUAGUUUAAACUUUUUCAUUACUGUAUUUGCAUGGUGAUCUGUGAUCAGUGAUCACAACUCACUGAAAGCUCAGAUGAUGGUUAGUAUUAGUAUAUUUUAGCAAUAUUUUUAAAAUAAGAUACGUACAUUGUUUUUUAAAGAUAUAAUGCUAUCGCACACUUAAGAGACUAUACAGCAGUGUAAACAUAACUUCUAUAUGUACCAGCAAACCAGAACAUUCAUCUGACUCACGUGGUGGUGGUGGUCUAGAACUGACCCUGCAACACCUCUGAGGUGUGCCUGUCCUUACAACCGUUCAUAAUUCUGAGUCUAGCAUCAGAACUGCAGAAAGGCAUUUAUCAUCUCUAAGAUCCGUCUUCCACGUAUUUCCACAAAUAGGCUGUUUUAAUUAUAAACAAUAAGGAAAGUACAUUUGACUACAUCUCAUUUUCUGCACUGAAGAAAAUUUUGGGGAGCAAAAUAACUCAAGCUCACUUGGCUGAUAUGCCACAUCUUUUUUUUUUUCUUAAACAAUGAUGAACCACAAUUUUUAUUACUCAAAAAAUAAGAGGCCUGUUUUUUAUCCUACCUCCAAAUCAUCUUGGUUUUCUCAUGUCUCAGUAGCUAAGGUAGAAGGUGAUAUUCCUUCAAAUAUCCAGUCACCCAGAUUUGGAGGAUUAAGAUUGGGCUCACUUAGACAAGAGGGCCACAGAGACCCCUUAAUGGGCGGCCAGGGGGCACAGCAGAGGACAGACAGACACAAAAGCAGACCAGACGCCCUCAUCCCACGCCCUGGGCCAGCUUGGGGCCGGGGCGGUAGCGAGGAGACGCCGGCCCUCCAGGGCGUCCGCAUGAGCCUCCCUCCCGCGUGAGGCACACUAGGGACCUCGUGUGUGCCUAGCUCAGGAUGGAUUCCUGACAUUUCGGAUCCACGUAAGAGGUGGCGAAGAAUAAAAAUUCCAAAAACAUUUCUUCUAUAUGUUAUCUGUCCGCACCUAAGUGUGGGUACGUGGGUGUUACAUAGUUUGUGGCUUCACUCCAUUCCAACAUCACAAAAUUCAAGGGCCCGAUCACAUCCCGUUUCAAAACCAGAGGUGAGUUACCCUUAACAUGCUCGUGUCCCUGAGUCAGCUACUGAGGCUCUGGAGAAUAAGCCUUGGAGGGCAGCAGACUUUUAACCGGGAUUAUGAUUACUGGUGGGAAACGAUGCAAAAAUCAAAUCACUUCAUAGAUAAAAAGAGGUGGUAAGAGCUCAGCUUACUUUCAUGGCAUUUAAUCCCAUAAACGUCGAUGUUUGGGUCAAACUCCCCCGGGGCCAAAGGCGGUGAGCUGUUGAGCGUGUUUCCAGGACUGUCCGGAGGGGUUCCCACGGGGUGGGUGCCGUCGCUCUCCCCCUCCUCUUCCCCGUCGUUCUCCUCACACUCCACCUCCUCCUGCUCGGCUCGCUCCACAUCAUGGAUUCCCACCAGCAGGCUGUAGUCCAUGAGCUUCAACUGGGCAAGAAACUGAGGGUGGGAGGCGGCAGGUCAGUCAGGCCUUCAAACCCCAGACCUGGAGAAAACAAGCUCAGGAAAAGGCACACGGGGGAAGGCUGGGAGCCAGGGGGCGGCAGAAACGAGAAGAGGGUCUCCCCGAGGGGCGGCCAGCCAGGAGCCUCCUUUGUGAUGCUCUCCCAGCCCCGCGGAAGCUUCGCGGGCCGAAAACGGAGCCCCACACCCCGGGCCGGCCCGGCGCUAGUGGUAUUUUCCCUGAGACGCCAAGCUGGAUGCCGAGAGGCGGGCACACAUCCAUGGAGGCUGGAUUACCCCAGAGAGCACAGCACAUGGCCGGCAAGGAGGGAAGAGAGCUGCUCUCCCAACAACUAAGACCGGCCGAGGGGAAAGACCAGGGGCCUCCCAAGUGGCUGCCAGCAGUGUCUUGUGAAAGCACUUGGAAAUUCAGCACACUGGGCUGAGGACGUGAGUACGCUGUCCGUCCCCACGAAGUAAAAGCCCAAAUGUCCCAACCGACCAGCAAACGCCCGUGUCAGUGCUCGGAUGAGUAACACAGUCCUGUCCUGCUCAGGUUUCCUUCUGGAAGCGGGGAGACCGGAGGAGCUGAGGGCGUGGUCCACUUCGCACGAGGCAGCGCAGGCCCAGGACCCCCGUCCCCGCUCGUCCCGUUCCAGCCGCGGGUAGAACGGAAUGUGGGCCGACACCUGGCUCCGAGGGUCAGCCUGCCUCUCCUACUCCUCUCUGGACUUUUCUCACGCCAUUUUUCUUUUCUCUUCUUAGGAGCCGCACCCAGACACGUGUUCUAAUCGCUGCAUUAAAGCGUGGCUAAGAACUGAGGGCAAAACGUGCCGGCCCAUCUGCUGGCUAAAACCCCACAGCUCCCCGGUCCCCACCCAGCUGGCUCCGCACAGGGUCCGGUUCUGCUCCCACCCCGUGCCCAUGGCCCAAGAAGACGCAGGACCCCGACUCUCGGAGGGCCUGAUGCCACCCUCGUUCGGUGACGCAGAGCAGCCAGCUGGCCUCCGGCCAUCCCGGCAAAGUUAGGACAUGAACUUCCUUACACAAAGGGCAAGCAUGUGAAAUGACCGGUCUUGGAGUUCUGGCCGAAAAUGAGUGAAACGAAAUCCAUUUGUGGAGACCUGCAGGAACCCCCCCCCCCCGGCCCCCCAGCCUAUAGAGAAGCAGCUCGGUGUCUGAGCUGAAGACCAGGAGGGGACCUCGCACGCCAGCUGUGCCCAGAGGCCUUCCGUUCCUCACCAGCCCAGGCCUCCUCCUGCUCUCCUCUUUCUUAGUUCCCAUUUCCAUGUCUUCCCACCACGAAUCCCCUGGGGCCAGGCUGACUCUUCCUCAUUGAAGCUCAGGGGGAAAAAAAAAAAAAUCACACAAAUCCUCGUUCAGGCAUGUAAGCAAGGUAGGAGAACCCUAGGUGCCAACCCUUUGCCAAAAGAGUACUCAGUAGCCAACAGGGACACAAAAAGAUGCUCCACAUCACUCAUCGUCAGGGAAAUGCAAAUCAAAACCGCAAUGAGGCGGUCACACCUGUCAGAAUGGCGGGUGUCCAAAAGACGAGAUAACAGGUGUUGGCCAGGACGUGGAGAAAAGAGAGGCUUGUGCACUGUCGGCGGGGACGUAAAUCGGUGCGGCCAGCAUGGAAAACGGUAUGAAAAUUCCUCAAGGAAUUAAAAACAGAACUACCCUACGAUCCAGCAAUCCCAGUUCCGGGUGCAUAUCCACAGGAAACAAAACCAUUAUCUCGAAGAUCUAUCUGUACUCCCAUGUCCGCCGCAGCAUUAUUCAUAAUGGCCAAGGCCUUGCAGUGGGUGCCUGUUCCUCGCGGGGCAGAAGCAAACUCGAACACGGCCCAGCGGACCCGGAUGGUUGGCCCCAUUACCUCUUUGGCUGCCUUGAAGCCUGUUCCAGCCCACCUUCUGGCCCUCUCACCUGCACCACUUGACCUUCAGAUCACAACUGCAGGGACGCUUGCUUCUGGAAGCCUUUCCCGAUUCUUGCCUGGGCCACGCCCCCAAAGCACGGGCGUGGAGGGACUCGCACACUUUUCCCUAAUGACACUUGGCUUGGCUGCACGUUUACCUUGUUAGAUUAUUUGGGGAAGCUUCUGUCUUCCCUGAACACGGCAGCCCCGGGAGGGCAGGGGCUCUGGCUGUUUCUGCCCUCACCGUAUUCCCGGUGGUGAGGUGUCAGUAUUUACUGGACAAGUGAAUGAGAUGCCUGCUGCCUCUUCCCCAGUCCCCUUGAACUCACCCUAAUUUCCCUAACCCCUUUCUCGAAGAAACAACCACCCAGGGCAAGUAAAAACAUAGAACAAAGCAACAAAGAAACCUUUGAGACUGUAAGAGGAAGCACCUCUACUGGGAGCAAAGCAAGAGCAUUUACCACGUAUCUUUGCCAGAAUGGAACCUCGCUGUCAUGUAAGUCUACUGUUUGGCCUUCAGAAGGCUGGUUUUCAAACACCCUUGCAGGUGUGCCUGAUUACAAAAGUAAGGGGCUGCCCGUAAUGAACUUGCAAAGGUCAGCCGGGAAGGGAGGAUGACCACGGCUGGGCCGCUGCACUCAGUGGAGUCCCUCCCCCC